GGCUAGUCGACUGAAAUGCCAUCACAGGUAUAGAUCGUUAUUAACGUAUGUCUAGCGCACUCUUCUGAAAAAAAGAUUUCCGGAAGAAGAGACACGUACCCUCUCUUCGCUGUCAUGGCUCAUGCUAAGAUCCCCAUCUUUGUCUUCUUGAUAGCGAUUACUGCUCAUCAGUGUUUUUCACAGGGCAAGUCUGGAGUUCCUAAUUCAAACAUCGGUCCUCAGCCACGACUACCGCCCGAUCUAGAAAACUUUCUUAGUCACUUGAAUAAUGAGACCCGCACUUUGGCCGAGCUCAUACUUCCUGUCGAGGCACAUAUUCACUCACUCACUUUCCUUGUUCUUAACACUAUUACUACCGUUGCUGACAAGUGUGGCUGCAAGAAACUGGAUUUGACUGCACUCUUGUCACCUGGCGGUCCUUCACGAGGGAAAACACCCCCAACCCCAGGUUCUGAAGUGCCUCCUCGUAGUGGCACCAAUCACUGAACUUCUGCAUUCUUACCAGGUGUCCAACGAUGUGUCGUCUGCCUAGGAGCAAGACAUUAUGCCAGAUUUACCAGUUGAGAGUGGUUAACGCAAAAUAAAGCAAGAUUUGAUACUUUAAGCAUAGUAAAAAAAA